rnacentral:rRNA from 1 species
GUCUUAUUGAUUAUAAUUUUAAGUCGAUCUGCCCAAUGAACAAUUUAAAUGGCUGCAGUAUACCUGACUGUGCAAAGGUAGCAUAAUGAAUUGAUUUUUAAAUGAAAUCUGGAAUGAAAGAAUUAAUGAAAUAUAUACUGUCUCUUAUUUAUAAAAUGAAUUUAAAUUUUUAAUAAAAAUGUUAAAAUUUUUUUAUGGGACGAUAAGACCCUAUAGAAUUUUAUAUUAAAUUAAUUUUAUACAAAAUAUAAAAUUUAUUUUAAUAUUUAAUUGGGAGAAUUAUUAAAUUUAAUAAAUUUUAAUAAAAAUAAACUUUAAUUAAAGAAAAUAUUUUGAUCUUUAAUUUAAAAUAAAUAGAAUAAAUUACCUUAGGGAUAACAGCGUAAUAUUUUUUUAUAGAUCACAUAGAAAAAAAUGAUUGCGACCUCGAUGUUGAAUUAAGAUAAAUUUUAAAUGCAGGGGUUUAAUAAUUAAGUCUGUUCGACUUUUAAAAUCUUACAUGAUUUGAGUUCAAAUCGACGUAAGU